UUGAAAGGGAAACGAUUGAAGUCAGUCGUACCGACGAGAAAUCAGCUCUUUGAGUGUGGACUUGUGGGCGUGCGUGAGCUUUACGGUCUCGCUGUUUGCAAUGUUUGUUCUUUUUGGGUGUACUUUUCGUAUGGUAGGCCAACAUCAGUUUCGAAUACCAUAAAAUAGACCGGCGGAAUGUAGCUUCGAUCUCGUAUUGAAGUGUUAUAGCCUCUGGUAGGAUGUGGUGUUUGGGUACUGAGGAUUGCAACGAAUAUCCUUUGGGCUAUCCGUCUGAUCUCUGAAAGUUGCUUAGGUGCCGAAAGCGUGCUUACGGUUUAUUUAAGUUGACGGUCAAAAGGUUAGAACGUGAUUACAUUCGUUAAGGAUGUUUGACGUA
rnacentral:rRNA from 1 species